rnacentral:rRNA from 1 species
CCUACGGGAGGCAGCAGUGAGGAAUAUUGCACAAUGGGCGAAAGCCUGACGCAGCAACGCCGCGUGCAGGAUGACGGCCCUCUGGGUUGUAAACUGCUGUAGUGGGGGAAUAAUAUCCGCUUUUAGCGGACUGAAGGUACCCCAAAAGUAAGCUCCGGCUAACUACGUGCCAGCAGCCGCGGUAAUA